GCGUUGUCCGGAAUUACUGGGCGUAAAGAGCUCGUAGGUGGUUUGUCGCGUCGUCUGUGAAAUCCCGGGGCUUAACUUCGGGCGUGCAGGCGAUACGGGCAUAACUUGAGUGCUGUAGGGGAGACUGGAAUUCCUGGUGUAGCGGUGAAAUGCGCAGAUAUCAGGAGGAACACCGAUGGCGAAGGCAGGUCUCUGGGCAGUAACUGACGCUGAGGAGCGAAAGCAUGGGUAGCGAACAGGAUUAGAUACCCUGGUAGUCCAUGCCGUAAACGGUGGGCGCUAGGUGUAGGGGGCUUCCACGUCUUCUGUGCCGUAGCUAACGCAUUAAGCGCCCCGCCUGGGGAGUACGGCCGCAAGGCUAAAACUCAAAGGAAUUGACGGGGGCCCGAACAAGCGGCGGAGCAUGUGGAUUAAUUCGAUGCAACGCGAAGAACCUUACCUGGGCUUGACAUGUACCGGAUCGGGCUAGAGAUAGUCUU
rnacentral:rRNA from 1 species